rnacentral:rRNA from 1 species
GACAGAGGGUGCAAACGUUGUUCGGAAUUACUGGGCGUAAAGCGCGUGUAGGCGGCCCUGCAAGUCGGAUGUGAAAUCCCACGGCUCAACCGUGGAAGUGCAUUCGAAACUGCAGGGCUAGAGUCCUGGAGAGGAAGGUGGAAUGCUUGGUGUAGAGGUGAAAUUCGUAGAUAUCAAGCGGAACACCGGUGGCGAAGGCGGCUCACUGGCCCGGUACUGACGCUGAGGCGCGAAAGCGUGGGGAGCAAACAGG